UGGCGGACGGGUGAGUAACGUGUAAAGAACUUACCAUAUAGACUGGGAUAACAGGGGGAAACUUCUGAUAAUACUGGAUAAGUUAGUAGUAGCAUUACUAAGUAAUGAAAGGUAGCAAUACGCUAUAUGAGAGCUUUGCAUCCUAUUAGCUAGUUGGUGGGGUAAAAGCCUACCAAGGCGAUGAUAGGUAGCCGGCCUGAGAGGGUGGACGGCCACAAGGGGACUGAGAUACGGCCCUUACUCCUACGGGAGGCAGCAGCC
rnacentral:rRNA from 1 species